rnacentral:rRNA from 1 species
AUGGAUGAGAUCAAGAUCUUGAGGCAGAUUGCCGAUGGUGACCCUGAAGACUCCCGUUGUGUUGUCAAGCUUCUUGACCACUUCAAGCACUCAGGCCCCAAUGGGAGCCAUGUCUGCAUGGUGUUUGAGUUUCUUGGUGACAACUUGCUCACCCUGAUCAAGUACACUGACAUGUCUAUAUCGACAACACAGAUGGACAAGGUGGUGAACCUGUUGUUCAAGAAGAGGCCGAAGCAGUUCGACAUCGGUGGCGCCCUGCCGCCCAAGAAGGACCUCCACCGGUUUGUCAAGUGGCCCAAGGUCAUGCGCAUCCAGCGCCAGCGCCGCAUCCUCAAGCAGCAAGGAGCCCAACAACCUCUACAAUGUCCACUCCUACAAGUUCUCGAGUCCGUAGCUCUUUGCAGUAUUUUUAACCCUUUUGUUUGCAAGUGUCUCUGCAAGGAGCUAACUUGCUGUGGGGCUGAUGUGGUUUCAGGCUUGGCGAAUAGCAAAACUGUGGCAGUCCAGCCAUCAGCGGGAGAGGACAAGGCAGUUGUCCUGUCCACGACCAAGACCAAGAAGCAGAACACCCCUGCCAAGCUCCAGCACAAGACUCUGAUGCGCAAGGAGUUCUGCAAGAUGGCCAAGUAUGUCAAGAAUCAGAGUUGUGGCAUGGCAUGCUUGAUUUUGUGGUGGACUUGUGGCACUAAUGAUGCACCGUUGUUACACUGCCUUGUCUUGACUGAAUGCAUCUUGUCAGGUCAUCCUAAGUUCAAGGAUGUAUUCUCUGGUGAUGACUUUGACCACAGAAGUACAACCAGGACAACCGUGCUGUUGGUGGUAGCUCCCAAGGUCCAAGGACAACUAUAUACUUUGACAGCAAAGAGCCAAGCAAGGUGUACAGACCCGGGUUCAGGUGUGGGUUUGGUAGAGCUCGACCAGGGCGCAUGUGAUGAUGUAGAAGCAUGCGUCGCUUUCCGUGCCGCCGACGGGUCGCUCGUCUACGACUCCAUGCUCGUCAUGUCGGACACGGCGCCACAACCACUAUCCACCGCAGUCACCAUUCUCUGCAUCGACCAACAUUGCCUCAUCCUCCAGCUCUUCCAUGUCUACAUCCCUGAUGCCCUGGUUUUAAAUAUGGAGGACCUAUCCAGCGUCAAGGCAGAGGAAGGCAUCCCAGAGCUCCUGCAGGCUGGGCUGAACGUCUUUACGCAUGCCGUCGCAAAGGAAAAAAGUCCAAAAUAA